rnacentral:rRNA from 1 species
GGUGGUGGAAAGCUUUUGUGGUUUUGGAUGGACUCGCGGCCUAUCAGCUUGUUGGUGGGGUAAUGGCCUACCAAGGCGACGACGGGUAGCCGGCCUGAGAGGGUGACCGGCCACACUGGGACUGAGACACGGCCCAGACUCCUACGGGAGGCAGCAGUGGGGAAUAUUGCACAAUGGGCGCAAGCCUGAUGCAGCGACGCGCGUGAGGGAUGANGCUUCGGGUUGUAACCUCUUCAGUAGGGAGAAGCGUAAGUGACGGUACUGCAGAAGAAGCGCCGGCUAACUACGUGCCAGCAGCCGCGGUAAUACGUAGGGCGCAAGCGUUAUCCGGGAAUUAUUGGGCGUAAAGAGCUCGUAGGCGGUUUGUCGCGUCUGCUGUGAAAGACCGGGGCUCAACUCCGGUUCUGCAGUGGGUACGGGCAGACUAGAGUGCAGUAGGGGAGACUGGAAUUCCUGGUGUAGCGGUGAAAUGCGCAGAUAUCAGGAGGAACACCGAUGGCGAAGGCAGGUCUCUGGGCUGUAACUGACGCUGAGGAGCGAAAGCAUGGGGAGCGAACAGGAUUAGAUACCCUGGUAGUCCAUGCCGUAAACGUUGGGCACUAGGUGUGGGGGACAUUCCACGUUUUCCGCGCCGUAGCUAACGCAUUAAGUGCCCCGCCUGGGGAGUACGGCCGCAAGGCUAAAACUCAAAGGAAUUGACGGGGGCCCGCACAAGCGGCGGAGCAUGCGGAUUAAUUCGAUGCAACGCGAAGAACCUUACCAAGGCUUGACAUGAACCGGUAAUACCUGGAAACAGGUGCCCCGCUUGCGGUCGGUUUACAGGUGGUGCAUGGUUGUCGUCAGCUCGUGUCGUGAGAUGUUGGGUUAAGUCCCGCAACGAGCGCAACCCUCGUUCUAUGUUGCCAGCGGUUCGGCCGGGGACUCAUAGGAGACUGCCGGGGUCAACUCGGAGGAAGGUGGGGACGACGUCAAAUCAUCAUGCCCCUUAUGUCUUGGGCUUCACGCAUGCUACAAUGGCCGGUACAAAGGGUUGCGAUACUGUGAGGUGGAGCUAAUCCCAAAAAGCCGGUCUCAGUUCGGAUUGGGGUCUGCAACUCGACCCCAUGAAGUCGGAGUCGCUAGUAAUCGCAGAUCAGCAACGCUGCGGUGAAUACGUUCCCGGGCCUUGUACACACCGCCCGUCAAGUCACGAAAGUUGGUAACACCCGAAGCCGGUGGCCUAACCCUUGUGGGGGGAGCCGUCGAAGGUG